rnacentral:rRNA from 1 species
GACGAACGCUGGCGGCGUGCCUAAUACAUGCAAGUCGAACGCAGUGGGGACGGGGUAGUAACCCGUGGGUAACCUCCCAUCAGAGGGGAUAACACUUGGAAACAGGUGCUAAUCCGAUACUGAUGGAUGGCCCCGCUGUGCAUUAGCUAGUUGGUGAGUUACCGGGUAACCAAGGCCACGAUGCAUAGCCGGCCUGAGAGGGUGAUCGGCCACACUGGGACUGAGACACGGCCCAUACUCCUACGGGAGGCAGCAGUAGGGAAUCUUCGGCAAUGGACGAAAGUCUGACCGAGCAACGCCGCGUGAGUGAAGAAGGUUUUCGGAGCGUAAAACUCUGUUGUGAGAGAAGCGGUAUCUAACCAGAAAGCCACGGCUAACUACGUGCCAGCAGCCGCGGUAAUUC